rnacentral:rRNA from 1 species
AUGAACGCUGGCGACGUGGAUAAGGCAUGCAAGUCGAGUGGGUUUAGACCCACGGCAGACGAGGUAGUAAUACAUAGGAACUUCCCCUCUUGUCGGGCAUAACUAGCCGAAAGGUUAGAUAAUUCCCGAUAGUCUCUUCGGAGUAAAGAUUUAUCGCAAGAGGAAAGGCCUGUGGAGUAUCAGCUAGUUGGUAGUGUAAUGGACUAUCAAGGCUAUGACGCUUAGGGGAGGUGAGAGCCUGACCCCCACCGAUGGUACUGAGAUACGGACCAUACACCUACGGGUGGCCGCAGUCGAGAAUCUUCCACAAUGGACGCAAGUCUGAUGGAGCGACGUCGCGUGAUGGAUGAAGUCUUUCGGGAUGUAAACAUCUUUUAUUGGGGAUGAAUCUAGUUUAUCUAGAGUGACGGUACCUGAUGAAUAAGGGGUUGCUAAACUCGU